rnacentral:rRNA from 1 species
AUAUUGCGCAAUGGGGGAAACCCUGACGCAGCAACGCCGCGUGAGUGAGGAAGGUCUUCGGAUUGUAAAACUCUUUUGCUAGGGAAAAAUGUGCUUAUGGUUAAUACCCAUUAGCAGUGAUGGUACCUAAAGAAUAAGGACCGGCUAACUUCGUGCCAGCAGCCGCGGUAAUACGAAGGGUCCAAGCGUUGUUCGGAAUCAUUGGGCGUAAAGCGCGCGCAGGCGGAUCAGCAAGUCAGAUGUGAAAUCUCGAAGCUCAACUUCGAAACUGCGUCUGAAACUGCUAGUCUAGAAUGUCGGAGGGGGCAGGGGAAUUUCACGUGUAGGGGUAAAAUCCGUAGAGAUGUGAAGGAACACCGGAGGCGAAGGCGCCUGCCUGGACGACUAUUGACGCUGAGGCGCGAAAGCGUGGGGAGCAAACAGG